rnacentral:tRNA from 1 species
GGGGUUGUGUCUCAGUGGUAGAGAGCUUGCCUAGUAAGAGUGAGGCACUGGGUUUGAUCCUCAGCACCACA